rnacentral:lncRNA from 1 species
CCGGCCAAAACAAAAACCAAAGAAGAACAAAGGAAGAAAAGAAAGAACAAGAACCCUAGGUGGAAAAAUUCAAAGAAAAAGUGUGAAAAAUCAAGAAAAACAAGUGAAAAAGGUAGGAUUUCUCAAUUUAAACUUGAAAUCUAUUUUCCUUAAGCAUUUCUCCUUAUUUUCCAUGGUUAAAUUUCAUGUUUUCAUGGUGAAUUCAUGGCUAACCGAAUGGGUAUGGAGAGAAAAUGAUGUUGGAAUGAUUUGAUUUCAAGUUAUGUUAGUGUUUUUGGUUAGUUUACCAUGUCUAGAAGCAAAACAACAAGAAAAGAAUUCAUUUUCCCCAUCACCCAUCAAUCGUCGAACCUACCUUGCAUUGAGUGAGGAUGAAUUUGAUUUUUAUUUUAGGAGAAUUGGUUAGAAAAUGAUGAAUUAUGGUGUGGAAAGUAGUAGGAAAAAUCACGGUGUUAAUGCACCAUUAUUGACCAAAAAUUCUAUGAAGAAAAGUGAAAAUGGUUUGGUCAAAUAGUAGGUUAUUUGACUUAUGUUUGGUGAAUUAAGGUAUUGGAAAAGAAAUGGAGCAAUUUGGAGCUAAAUUGGAUGCAUUGGCCAAUUAAUCGGGUGAUAAAACGAAUUAGGCCAAUACCAGGUUUAGAUUGUUACCCGUGCAUUUUGCAUUCCAUAUCAUGCAUUAGUAGUCUAAAUUUGUUUAAUUUCGAUUUAGUACCAAUGUAGUAAGUUUCUAGAUUUUGCAUCAUGUCCAGGUGGUGAAUCCUCCGCUAAGGGCAAAGAAAUUGUACCCGAGGAUCGGUAGUUAGAGUACUCUAGAAAUUCGACUCCCGAAAUAGUGAGUAACCUUAUCAUCAUUUUAAUUAUCUAAAGUGGUCUUUUUAUCCAAUUUUGUGAAUUUUAUGGAAAAUGAGUUUAAAUGGUUAAUUUUUAGGUUUUAUAAACAAAAUGUGUUUAAAUGAAAAGAUUUUAUAAAUUGUCUUGAAAUUGAAUUAUGGCUUUGAAAAUAGAGUAACUGGAGACCACUUGAUGUGUUGUAAUUUAUGGUUCUAAUUGAUGGCUUAUGAUAAUGUGUUGGCAUGAUUGGCUGGAAUUGUGGUUUGUGAACUGUAUGAAUUGUUCUGUUUUACAUUUACAGGCUGGGUAGUAUAAUAUUAGUCAUGUCAUGUUGUCAAAAUUUUAUUGUAUGGUGGGUUUAGCUUGCUGUAGUGGGCGGGUUCUGUGGACCAGCCUAUUAGAGGGGCACGGAAUCCGGUUAUAUAUGUACCUCGGUCAGAGAGCCUCGUAGGGUAUCUCCUGAGGUAUGGUUAGAGUUCAUGUCACGUCGAACCACCUCGUGCUAAUGUACUCCGCUAACGCCAAGGAACGACUGUGUUUUUCAAACUAAAAAAUAUGUUUAUGUGUGUAUAAAAUUUUUAACAGCCUUGACGGACUCGGUUAAAUACCUCGACCAAGGUAUUCCCAAGAAUGAUUUUAACAGGAGCCAACCUUUUAAGAUACUCAUAAGCCAUGUUGACUAUUUAAAUGAAAUGAAUGUUUAUGUUAUGAAAUACAUAUUUAGAUGGAAUAUUUUAAUCGUCUUCUUUUACUCGACUUUAGAUAUUUUGAAUGAUGUUUGUUUACUUGCUGGGAUUUUAUAAUCUCACCACCCUCAUUUCCACCCAUUUCAAGCUUAGUAUAAGCUAUAGAUAGCUGAUAUCGUCGAAGGCUACAGUUGGCUUUACUUCCUCAAAAACUGUAGGUUUGCAACCUUCGUUUAUUUUUGUUAUUUAAGGGUCCACAUGUCACUGUAAAUUAAAUUACAUACUUUAGUUAUUUGUACUACUGUAUGUAAGAAUUUAUUUUGCUUUUACGCUGUAAAAAUUAUUUACGCAGUGUUCUAAAAAUAUUAUUUAUAAGAAAAUAGAAUAUUUUGUUUAAUAUUUUUAUUUUAUUCUAGCAGUCAUAAUUUCACUUUAAAUGAAUGUUUAGACAUCUAAAUUUAUUUUUGAUUUUGAAAUAUGUGUUCUGCACUUAUAUACUACAUUAUUAGCUGGUAUCGAAAUUUUAAAGAAAAAUGAUCAAAAUACCCCUGUGAGACGAAAAUUAUUUUUUAUUGUUUUAAGUUGGGAAAUAGUUUAAAAUCUUUUAGAACGUGAUAUUUGGCAAUGAUUACUCACAGGGGAAAAUGAGAAAUUGAUAUUAAAGUCUUGCGGGGUUCUGGUUGGCAUUUCGGGUAAUGAGUGUCUAUCGGGACACCGCGACAGUUGUCACGGGCUCGAGGGGAGUACUGGGUCGUGACAAGUUACAGUCCCAGCAACUUGGCAUACCAAGCGAUGCGAAGUCCUUCCCACUAAUUAAAAUCCUUGUAAAGUGAUCCACUAUCCACGUACCAAACUCCUCUUAAAUGUUGGAAACAUGGAACAUGCAUGCUCACCUAAGGAUUUUUCUUAACUUAUUCUCUUACUUAAAAUGGAAUUCCAUAUUUUUCCCUUUUUUGAAAAUUUGUCCUCAAAUUUAAGUAGCAUACUAACCUUUGCUAAAUAAGUGUGCGUACCUAGUCUGCAUGUCACUCUCGAUUCCUAAGUCACCUCUUCGCUCGAGUGGUUUUUUCAUUGCACCUUUACCAAUGCUACAUCCUUGGAGAGUAAUUUCUUCACUUGCCUGUCUAAAAUGGCUAUCGGCACCUCCUUUAGAUCAAACCAUCUCUCAGCUAUAGGAGCUUAUGCUAAACCACAUGUGAUGGAUCCGAUUGGUACUUUUAUAAUACCAAAACAAGAAACAUGGGAUCAACACUAGCAAGAUCUGGCAGCAGUGCUAAUUGAUAAGCCACCGUGCUUAAAAUCAUUUAGGUUUUUAGCCUCUUCCAUAACAGUGACUUUUAGAUCUUCUACAAUAUUGGUGAAUCUCUCAAGCAUCUCAUUAAUUAAUUUACUCUCUUCCAUCCUAAAAUGCUCAUAGUCAUGAGUAAGCAAUCCAAUCUUGGAUUCCUUAACUAGGUUAGUGCCCUCAUAAGUGGUCUCUAAGGUGUCCUAUAUUUGUUGAGCACUUUAACACAUAGAAACUUUGUUGAACUCACUAACACUUAAGGCACAAAGGAGGGUGUUAUAUGCUUUACAAUUUGUUUGAAUUAAGUUCUUAUCUUUAUCACUCCACUUAUUCCUAGACUUAACCAUUAAUUUUCCUUUUACUUCCUUAUAUGGAACAUGAGGACCAUCUAAUAUAACAUUCCACAAUUUAGGUCCAUAAAUUGUAUAAACAUUUCUAUAUGUUUCUUCUAAUAAGGGUAGUUAGUACCUACAAAGAGAUGUGGCCUUUAGAUUGAUUGCCCUUCACCAAGCAUAGUUGUCUUAACCUCUAUUUUGAUGAUUUAAGCAUUUACUACGAAUCACUCAAACUGUUGCACCUACAAAAAUUGAGCCCUAGCUUUGAUACCAAUUUUUAGCAGUAUAAGCUUAAAGUAAUAUAUACCAAGAGAGGGGUAAAUUGGUAUUUAAAAAAAUCCUUUUAAACCAAGUGUAAAAAUCAAAUCUUUUUACAAUCAAAAUUCUUUUUUUGUCAAAACAAAGUAAUAGAUUUUCCUAAGGCUAAUGCAAGCAAUAAAUCACAAUGCGAAAAAUUAAAAUCAAGACAUAAAGAUUUAAUAAUGGUUCGACUUUCUUUAGUGCCUACAUCCAUUCCCUUGGAAACUAAGUAAUUUCAAAUACACUCUAUGAAAUGUGCUUUUUAUGUGAUCAAGCAUUAAACCUUUACAAUGUUUUUUCAUGGGACCAAGCAAAACCUUCAACAUACUUGUUCACGAUAACAAGUGGAACCCUUACAAUACAUUUUCACCAUCGCAUGUAGAACCUUUAACAACAUUUUUUAACGGGAGAAAGUGAAACACUUCAAUAAUUGUUUUUGUCACAACCCAAAACUCGGGCCAUGACCAACGCAUGGGCUCAAUGGGCAUAGCCCACUAAGCCCAAGCAAGCCUCUUUAUAUAAUCGAGUUCAUCAUUUCAUCAAUCAUACAUCACCAUUUCUAAACCACAAUUCUCAACUAUACGUAUUUCGGUAAUAUAACAUAGUAACCAAAUAUUUAUAUUUGUAAUAUCGUAAAGUAUUAUCAUUCAUUGCCAUCUCAUAAUGGCAUUAUCAAUCAGAAUAUACAUAUAUCGUUUGCAAAAUGAUCUUAGCGCUUCACAUCUAAUGUACAUAUGCACAUGCAAAAGACUCCUAAUGACUAGCAGAGUGACUUUGGAUGGGGGAUGCGGCUAUUGAAUGCCAUGAUACAUACCAAGGGUGAACACUAGUGGACCCCUCAAUAUAUGUCCCAACUACUUCCGGAUCUGAAAACAUGAAGUUAAAAAGAGUGAGUAUAAACCCAGUGAGUGAACAUAGGAAGGGAACAAGCAUACGAUACGGAGAGUUUUCGAAAACAUGAUGCACCCAUUUUAAAACAAUGCAAUUUGUAUAUCAUAAACUACUCGAUGCCAUGUUGAUAGUUAACUCGAUUUAAAACAUUUAGGAAGUUCAACUUUCAACAUUCAAUGCAAUCACAUAAUAUUUUCUUUAACAUUUUUAUGGUAUGUGUAAACAUGUAUAGAACCACCGGUCAUCAGCUCAUGUGCACUUCCACACCGCACAUAGCUGGAAUCAUCAUCCUCCGAUCAUCAGCUCAUAUGCACUCCCACACUGCACAGAGCUAGAAUCAUCACCCACCAGUUAUCAGCUCAUAUGCACUCCCACACCGCACAUAGCUAGAAUCACCCGUCAUCAUCGACAUGUGCCUUCCCACACCACACAUGCGUGGUUACAAUUAUCACUCAACAUUAUAUUUCAAUGCAUGGCACAUGUAACAAGAAUCUUUGCAUAACAAUACAUCACAUGCCACAAAUCAAUUGGCAAUUCAACAUAAUAUUUCAAAUACGUAAUUCAUCAGAUUAUGCAUAUCGCAUAAUAUAGGAACACAUGAGUUAAUCACAUUGCACAAUUUCACAACAUAAAGACAUUUCAUCAAGGGCUUGUUCCUAGGCACAUUUUUAAAGCAAAGACAAAUAAAGUUUUCAAAUGAUUCAUUCAAACACAUGUGCAAUUAUUUCAAAACAUUUUUUUUAAAUGCAAGUUCACUCACCUUGGUAAUGCCACCUUACAAAAUUGACACCAAUAAAACUUUACGCCAAGUUAAGUCUUGAAGUGCCAUUAAAACCUAUAUUUGCCAAUAAUCAAUAAUAGCCUCAAAUACAUCAUAAAUUUGAACUUAAUAAUUCUAAUAAGCAUAUGCUUGAUAAACUACAUUCUAGCCUAAUUUUUAACCUAGAAUUCUAGUCUAAUUCUCAAACCCAUCAUAUCAACUAUUCCAAUUUAAAAGUUCCUUACCUUGGUGAGUUUGGAGGCAUAAAGAUCAACAAAAACCUAAUAUUUCCAAGAAAAAGAAUUUGAAGAAAUUAGGAAAUAAAAUCUGAAAAUAUAACCCAUAAAUUCAUAAAUUUCAAGAGUUGAAAAUAUAUACCUUUUAGCCUUAAAAAUGGAGAUUUGAAGUGAAAAUUCAAGUGUUGGUGAUGGUGGAGUAGAAAUAGAAAAAUAAAGGAAAGAAAGAAAGAUUUUUCCUUCUCUCUCGUAGGGUUUAGUUGUGCUGGAAAAUGGAGUUGAAGCUAUAGGUUUGGUGCCCAAGAAGUUAGGAGAAGGAAGGAGUAAAAAAAAGAAAGGAAAGGAAAAGAAAAUUAAGAAAAUUUGAUUUUUCAUGGUGAAGUGAAAAUGUUGUUGGAAGCAUGAAGAAGAAGAAAAGCUACUGGAAGUGAGGAGAAAGUGUUGAAACUUUAGAUAUUUAUCUCUGAAGUUAGUCAAAGUUUCACAUAAUUUACAAUAAUGCCCUUUUUAGUUUUUUUGAUGCAAUGCUUUCACUUUAACAAGGAUUUUGACCACUUUCUGAUCAGAACUGGGCAAAGUAGUAAACAUAAAAAUUAUAGCCCUGCCUCUUAGCUUUCUAAUGGUUUAAAAAUCAUGUUAUUUAGACUUCUGUAGUAGAAGAUAUGCUGAAAAACUGAAAUAUAUGCAAAUAGAGCAACAGUCCAUUAUGCAUCUUUCUUCACCAAUUGAAAUUAAUUUUUGAUUCUACUCGUAUAAAAACAUGAAAUAAAUAUAAACAACAUAACACUAACAUUAUUAACUUAAAACAAACAUUUAAACACAUAUUAGACUAAACUAAUAAAAUAAAUAAAAAUACACAAAUUCGAUCCUAAAUCUAGUCCACCUUAGACUAAUUAGGUAUUUAAUCACCUAUUAAAUAUGUGAAUUUGAUGUACUCAUCAGUCUACCUUUAGUUAUGCAUUUAUGGAUGCCGAGGUUUCAUAGUUUUUAAUAGGCUGAACCACAAAUCCUAAAAUAGCUUUUCAAGGUUAAGCUAGAACCUUGUUAAGAUGAGUGCAAAGUAUAGUAAGAAUGCCUUUAUAAAGGCUAGCUGGUACGAAGUUUAACCUUGGGUACAAAGAGAAGAAAUAUAUUCUCAAGGAUUUUCAAGUGAAUGAAUAUUUAAAGUUGGAUGGAAGAAUAAAAUGAAUGCUAAAGAGGGAAAACAAGCUUUGAGAUUGCUCUUUAGGGUUAUCCAAGUGAGUGUUGGUCUUCUCAUGUCUUCAAAAUGACUCAAGAGUGGCAUUUUAUACCUAGAGUAAAGUUUGGAGCCGUUAGACACAAGUUUGAAUUAAAUCUGGCUAUUACUGAAGUUUGAGGGUCGACUAUGUUAUUCUAAUUUCUCAAAUUAGGGUUCCAUUGUUGAGUAUAACCUUCCUCUACUCGAUCCAAUUCCUAAGAGGGUGUAUUUUUCACAUUUGAGCGUAAAUAGUCUACUAUGGUGAAAUCAAGGUUGACUAUGGCUUUCAUUUUCCCUCUUUUUAACACAUCAAACCUACCAGGGUUGACUAUAAAAGAGCCAAGGUCGACUAUGUUUAUGUAAUUCUUCAAUUUUAUGAGUUGUUUGCUUCAAGGUAGACUAUACACACACCAAGGUUGACUAUGGCUUUAUAUUCUUCAAGCGUUUUACUCAUUCUACCUUUGGAUCAACUUUAACUUCCCUAGAGUCAACUCUUGACUUGUGUCUUGAGGAUUCCUUGACUUUUUGGCACCUCUCUUUAGUUAUUUCUUCCUUGCUUUGUUAAUAUAAUCAAAUAAUAAUUCAAGGCAUGUGUGCUACUUGUUUACUUAGUUGAAUAUUCAUUGUUUGAAAGCUUUCAUGAUGUUUUCUAAUGAUGCAUGGCUUUCUAAACAAUUUUGUAACUUUAGGGGAUGAAAAAUUUGACCGAGACAAUUUCAAAUGCUUGACAUUAAACUCAAGAUACCAUGCAAUUUUUGUCAAAUCAAAACGUGAUUUAACUCAAGGCUAACAAUUUUGUUAGAAACGAUAAGCUUAAAGUAAAACUACCAAGAAGGGGUGUGCAUUGGCUGUUAAGUAAAAAUUCCCCUUUUUUCAAAAAUUAGUUCAAUUGUGAAAGAAAAAAACAAUAAAACAGAGUAUGAACUUAAUGAGUAAAGAGUAGCAAAGUAAGAAAGGACUCAAUAGGAUUUUAUAAAGGUUUAGCCUUCCAAUGCCUACGUCUUCUCCCUUGAUAGCACAAGGAGUUUGAAUCCACUAUCAGCUUGCCUUUUCAACAAGAUCAGGUGUAACUUUUAGAACAUGGCUUUUGAAGGAUCAAGCGUAACGUUCACGACUUGCCUUUUGCAAGAUCAAGCAUAACUUCUACCAAGGCAAUGCUUUUUUUAGGUUAAACACAACCUUUACAUAAGAAAAUGCCUUUUAAAGGAUCAGGCGAAACCCUUCUACCUUUUGCGUAAAAGUAUAACUAAUGCAAUAGUGGAUUCUAGUCAACCACAAUCUAAAAGCAUCUAAAAAGGUUGAUAACGAAGUUUAGGUUCAGAAAGGUGUGAGCUUUCAUAAAAAUAAGAAUGAUCAAGGAAGGUUUAAGCUCAAGAAAGAUAGCUGAAGGAUAACGAUAUGAGCUUUAGGUUCUUUGCUUGCUUAAAGGUGCGAACUUUCUGCUUCUAGCUAUUUUUCUUGUUUUUCCAUUCUUUUCCUUUUCAAGGAUGAUUCAAACAUUUUCAAAAUCCGUUUUUCUUCUUGUUUUAACAUCCUUAAGAUGGAUAUUUAUAGUCUUUGAGAUUUUCUACCUAUUAAAGUAAGUUUUGAAUCAUUUCUUGUACGUUCCAACAAAGUUGCAAAAGUUUGUUGAUUUUGUAGAAUCUUUUCUUUGUAGUUAAGUUGUCAGUUCUUCAUAAAAUCUAUAGCUUUCUAUCUAUGAAAAACCGAUUAUUCUUUUUCAAGCUGUCUGUUCUCUUACAAUUGGGUGAAAAAGUGACACCUUUGCAAUCUUAGAGAAUCGAUUCCUUUUCCUCAAGGUGUUGGUUCUUCAAUAUGGAUUGGUGCCAAAAUUUGAAUUCAAGCUUGAAUUUUACCACUCUACUUUUGUCUAGUUUGCCACGCCUUUCUUGGUCACCAAGUUUCUAAGCAAUACUUUUGGAGCUUCAAAAACCAACUUUUUCUCUUUGUAAAAUUGAUUUUUUCUUCCUUGCUUUUCUUUUUAGCUAAAAUUGUUUGAAAAGCCAUACUUCUCUUAUGUUUACCUUUAGCACAUGCAUCACAUAAUCUAUCAUUUUCAAAUGUAAUUUUGGGCAAUCUAACAACUAGAUCAUGAUGAGAUAGUUUAGCAAUAGUAUGCAUGCUAACAUGUCCUAGUCUUCUAUGCCAUAUCCAACUAUCCUCAUUUUUCUUUGCCAUGAAACAUACAUUUUGACAGGAUAAGUCAUCUAGAUGCAUAACAUACAUGUUCUCUAGACGUUUUCCACCAAAAAUGAUUUUGUUAGUGUUUAUGUCAAUUAUUUGGUGUGAAAUCCCACCUUGAGUAAGAUGAUAAGUUAGGAAAUCCAUAGGUGAGCAUAUAGAUUACAUGUUUCGAACAACAAACUUAGAUUGACCUUUCAAAAGAAUUAUUGACACUUGUUGUUGUCUAUCCCUUUUAAAGAAGAAAAUUUUCUAGGUUUGGAAAGGGUCAAAAUAUAUGAUUUUUUUAGAACAAUCUUUUUGAAAUAAAAAAUGGCUUUAAUGAUUCCUAUGGUUUUUAGAUGAUCAAAAAUGAUUUUUCCUUAAUUUUUAGGGCAUGUUUGCUAGGGUAAAUAGGAACAACAAAUUUAAUUUCAGUCAAACAUUUUUGAUUUUGUUCUUGAAAGCAAAAUUUAGAUUUUGAUUUUUUGUAUAUUUUUAUUGAAUCCAAAAGGAGGGUUGUUUGCUUAUUUACAUUAAAUAUCUUAAGUAAACGGAAAGUAAAAAGUAAAGAGGACAUUUACUUGGAUGGUAUUUAAUGUAAAUAAGCUGGGCAGGUUUUAUAGGCAAUUUGUCUAAGAAAACUGCAUUCUGUCUCAAAUGUAUUGAUACAUGGGCUAAUUUAUUGAUAUAUUUCGUCGAUUUUAGAAAAAUAAAAAGGGUAAAAAUGUAUUUUCACACCCUAACUUAUAAAUAUAUCACAUUUUUUGAGGUUUUACAACCUUCAGCUACAUUUGCAAGGUAAAACACCUAUUCUUAAACUCUUGCAACACAUUUUUAAUCCAAAAUUCCAUUUUUAUGAUUCUAAAGCUUAGAUUUGGGUUUUAUGGAAAAAAAUGACACUUUUAGCCUUUAAAUCUUUUGGCUUUAGAUUUUCAUAACUUAAAUAGUUGCGUUAUUGCCCAAACUUUCUGUUAUUGAUUUAAGUUUAAAAGUUUUGUGAUUUGCUAAAGCAUCUAAGCUCACUUAAGGUAAAGAUGAAAGAUUUAUGGGUUUCUAAGCAUGGGUUUUAGCUAGAAAAUUAGUUUAGCCAAAGUCGAGUACUUUUGAAAGUACAUAAAAUGAUUAUUACGAAAUUCUUAUUCUAGGAAUGGUUGUGAUGAUUGUUGUACGAUAGAAACACUUGAAAACUCCACGGAUAACGUCAAAAAGGAGUUGUGAUUAGAGCUAGGAAUCGACUCUCCAAUUAGGUGAGUGGAUACCCCACUUUCAAAUUAUUUUGAUACUUAAAGCUAGCAUGAUUUUUGUAAUACCCCGUACUUUGAUAUGGUGACUAAUAAAGCUUAUCUGAUGCCAAUUGAGACAUAAUAAGGUAUUUUGGGUACCAAGGAGACAAGUGAAAUUUUUUAAAUAAAAUAAUAUUUUAUUAAUUAAAUAAUAUUAAAAUAUUAAUAUUUAAUCGGAUGUUGAAAUUAGUCAUGAAGAAGGAUCAUAUGGUUGAUCCAAGUGGGGGAAAAGAAGUACAAAUGAAUUUUGGAGAUAAAUGACGUAAGUGAGAUACGUGUUUUUUUGUUAAGUCGAGCCAACGCGGAUAAGUAAAUAUUUAAAUAUUAUGGUGAUACCUCGUUGAAGUGCAAUUUCAAUAUGUUUGUGGUACACGUGCAAAGGAAGAAAGAUAGAUGAAAAUUAGAAUUUUUAAACUUGUCGAAAGGAUUGAAUUUUAAAUAUAAAAGUUGAAAGAUUAUGUAGUAAAAUUAAAUGGGAGAAAUAAAUAAACAAAUAAUAGAAUAAUAAUAAAAGUAUAUAUAUAAUAAUAAUAAAAAAAAUAAAGAGAAAGGCCAACAUGGGUAGCCGCCCAUGUGGUCAAUUAAAGAGUCAAUAAUUUUUUUUUAUAGUGGUAGGGGCCGGCCAAAUUGAUAAGUAAAGUGAGAUAAAAAAAAAUGAAUGAAAAAUGAAAGAAGAGAAAAGACAAGAAAGAAGAGAAAAGAAAAGUCAAAGUCAGCUGUGAGGGAAAAGCUGGCUAUUUGAAGAAGAUAAAAGGAAAGAGAGAAGUUGGUGUGAGAGAGCAAAGGGAAAGCCAAAGAAGAUAGAGAAAAGUCAGUGUGAGAGAGCAAAGGGGAAAGCCAUAGGCCAAGGGAGAAAGAGCAGGCUGGAAGAGAGAGCAAAAAAAUGGCAGUUGCAGCCGCUUAGAGGAGUAAAGAGAGAGGCUUUGUGCUGCAAAAUUUUGAGAGGAAAAAGAUAGAGUUUUGCUACAAAUUUUGAGAGAGAAAACAAGGGCUGCUGUUGUUGGGUUUGUGGGGGAGUAAACAAAGGCUUAAGCUGCUGGUUUGUGAGUGAAAUGAGGGAGAAAGAAGGAAAAGAAAAAAAAAAGAAGAGAGAAGAAAGAAGCUACCGACCGGUGAGAAAGAGGAGAAGAAGAAAGAGAGAAAGAAACGAGAAAGAGAGAUAAAAGAUAAAAAAGAUAAAAAUAAAAACGAAAAUAAUUAUUCCUUUGGGCCUUUAACAGUACCUUUGGCAAAGAAAGUCCGGUGGGUUGCAAUAUUUUAUUUGGGUUAGCAUUUGAGCCCAAGUGAGGUAAAAGUUAAAAUCAAGCCCUUUUCUUUAUGGAUCCAUUAUAAAGUAUGUUGUUUGGGUUUAGUCCAACUCAUUGGGUUGAAUGUGUGAUAUAAUGACAUAAAAUAAGUUGAAUUAUUUGGUAUAAAUGUUCAUUGGGUUGAAUGUGUGAUAAAAUGACAUAAAAUAAGUUGAAUUAUUUGGUAUAAAUGUUUUAGAAUUGUUAGAUAAUAUUUAAAAUAUGAAAAUUUGUGCAAGUACAAUACAAAGGUAAAUGUCAAUAGUAAGAAAAUCAGUAAUAAAUUUAGUUAGUUUUAAAAUAAUAAUAAUAAUCAUAAUAAUAAUAAGUGAAUGGUGAGGAUGAAAAAUGGUGAUUAAGAAGAAAGAACGAGCUACUAGCAAGUAAAGAUAGUUAAAGACACCUCCAAACAAAUAGAGACUUAAUAUCUCGUUGUUACAAGGUGAGUGAACUUGCAUUAAAAUGUUUUGGGAUAUACACAUAUAUGUUUGAUUGAAUUCCCUAAAACGUUUUAUUAGUUUUUCUUCAAAAACUCGCACGGGAACAAGCCUUUAUGAAAUGUUUUUAUGUUAUGAAAUGGAUAGUGUGAUGAAUCCAUCUGUUUCUGUAUAAUAUUGAUAUUUAUAUAGUAUGUCAUAAAUGGUACAUUGUGUGACAAAAUGCAACCGUGCAUGUGCGGGGUGAGUGUGCACCUAUCGGUGAUGACUGUGGUGAGGGAGAUGGAUGGUGAUAUUGCCUGUGUGCACGAUGUGGGGGGAUGCACAUGAUGGCAUUAGCUGUGCACGAUGUGGGGGGAUGCAAACGAUGACUCCGGCUAUGUGCAUGAUGUAGGCGGAUGCACAUGAGCUGGGUGAGACGGGGUGUCCGACUAUGUGCACAAUGUGGGGGGAUGCACAUGAGCUGGGUCAGACGAGGUGUCCGACUAUGUGCACGAUGUAAGGGGAUGCACAUGAGCUGGGUGAGAUGGUGGUGUAUGUGCUUAUAUAUAUUCAUAUUUACUAUAUAGAGAUGUUUGGAUUUAAUAUGUGAUUGCAUUGACUGUUGAAAACUUGAGUAUUGUCAAUGUGUUCAAUUUAAUGUCCAAUGUGGCAUGAGUGGAUUUUAUCGGUGGCAGUGAAAGUUCCCUUAGAUUUUAUCUAGCCAGAAUUUUGUUGCAACGAGAAUGCCUUUUGACUGCGGUGAGAGUCAAUCUAUUAUGCUUGACUUGCUUGAAUUCUACUAAAGUUUCCACUUCUCAACUUCUUUGUUGUUCAUGAGUUUUUCGUCAUCAAGUGACUAAACGACCAAGGGUUUGAAUGAGGGGUUUUCAAAUAGAAAUAAACUAAAUUGCAUUAUUUUGAACUUAAGUGCAUCAUGAUUUCUAAACCUUCCUUAACAUUGCUUGUUCCCUUCCUAUGUUCACUUACUGAGUUUAUACUCACUUUUUAAACUUCAUGUUUUAGGUUGUUAGAGUCAAAGGUGAUUGGAUCCUAGGACGAGGUGUUCCUCCCUAUCCAUUGCCUGGUAGAUUUACCAUGACAUUAAAUAUUAGCAAUCGUGCCCAGAGUCACCCUGCUGACGGUCAAGUUCUGAUUACGUGUAUAUGAAUACUUGUUGUGAAAUGCUGAGAUUCAUUUGUUAAUAUAUAUAUAUAUAUAUAUAUAUAUAUAUGUAUGUAUAUUAUGGUUGAUGAUGUUAUUCUGAAUACAUAGUUGGGAUUUAUGAAUUUUUCCAAAGAAACUAUAUUGAAUGCUAUUGAUUCGAAUUUUUAAGGAAUACAGAUUAAUGUAUAAGAUUCUCUAAAUAGGGUUGCUUGGGCUUAGUGGGCUAAGCCCAUUGGGCCCUUGCGCAGUUCAUGGCCCUGAAAUUGGGCUGUGACAAUUUCAACAAAAAAAAUUAUAUAUGCAUGUUGAAAUUAUAUCUCUAAAUUUGGUUAUCAAAGGAGUUGAGAUUUUAAAAUGAAAAUGAUUUUCUAAGAAAAUAAAUUGAUAAGGAUUGUGAUGUGAUUUACUCAAUAGAUGUUUUUUUAAAUGUUUAUUGACCUACUAUGUAUUAGUUUUCAACAAAGGGGGACAAGCACCUUAUAUUUGAAGUUUACUCGAUUACAACAAUCUUCGAACUAGUGCGAGUAUGAGAUAUUGUAUGCUUAUUUAUAGAUGCUAUAAUAUGCAUGUUGGUAUGAUGAAUGCCAUAAGAUUAUGUAUAUGAUGUAAAUUUCAGACACCAUAUGAGAUGAUCAAGUAUGCAUGAUGUAUACUAUAGGAUGGUGUAUAUGUUAUAAAUUCCAUAUACCAUAUGAGGUGAUUAAGUAUGCAUGAUUAAUGCCAUGAGAAUAUGGAUAUGAUUUAUAUUCCACAUACUACAUGAGACGAUUAAGUAUGCAUGAUUAAUGCCAUGAGAAUAUGUAUAUGAUGUAUAUUUCAUAUACUACAUGAGCGGAUUGAGCAAGCAUAAAUGUCAUGAGAUUAUGUUUAUGAUGUAAAUUCCAUAUACCGUAUGAGAUGAGUGAGCAUGUAUGUGAAAGACAUUCCACAUACCACAUGUUACAAGUAUGAGAACUCAAAAAGUGUGAUUGAUACCACUCUCACGGUGUGCAAGUGACGACUUCACUCCUAUGAUGCAUCAUAAAAUACCCAAGGGCAAUGGGGACAUACGUUGCCAACCCAAGGUGCCAUGAGGUUGUACAUUGCUAGCCAAAGGUUAAUGGGGGUCAAACCAUCACAAUGUAUGAGUUUUAAUGUUAAUGAAAUGAUUAUCGUUGUUAUGUUUAUGGUAUGUUGUAUGUUGUGUUCAUUUGAGUAAUGUUUAUGGUUUAUACCUGAUGAUGGCAUGAGAAUGUGCUUAGUAAGAAGAAUUGAGCCCUAAAGAUAGUUCUCGAGAUGUAAAAGGACUUAAGGAAUGGAAAUAAUGCUAAAAUUGUUCAGAAACUUAGUCUAUGUGUUCAAAGUAUCAAUACAUGUCAUGACCCGAAACUCCCCUCGAGCUCGUGACAACAGCCGCGGUGCCUCGAUGGGCACUCAUCUCCCGGAAUGCCAACUGGAAUCUCGUAAGGCUUAAUAUCAGUUUCUCAUUUUCCCCGGUGAGUAAUUGUUGCCAAAUAUUAUGUUCUAAAGGAUUUUGAGUUAUUUCCAACUUAAAAUAGAUAAAUUAAAAAUUUUUGUCUCAUAGGGGCAUUUUGGUCAUUGUCCACUGAAAAUUUCGAAACCAAUUAAAAAUGUAGUAAACAAGUACCAAUCACAUAAUUCACAAUUAAAAAUAAGUUUAGGCAUCUAAAACCUUUAUUUAAAAUGAAAUUAUAAUUAUUUGAAUAUAAUAAAAAGAUAAAACAAAAUAUUCAAUAAAAUAUUUUAUUUUCUUAUAAACAGUAAUUUUAGAGUUAUGCGUAAAUACUUUUUGUAACGUAAAAACAAAAUAAAUUCAUUCAUACUGUAACACAAUAAACUAGAGUAUUUAAAUUAAUUUAAAUUUACAAUAUCAAGUGGGCCCACAAUAACCAAAAUUAAAGAAGUUGUGAACCUACAGUUUGGAAAAAGCAAAUCCAAUGGAAGUCCUCGAUGGAAUCAGCUAUCUACAGCCUACUCUAAGCCUGAAAUGGGUGGAUAUGAGGGUGGUGAGAUUAUAAAAUCCCAGUGAGUAAACAAACAUCAUUUAAAUAAGCUAAAGCCGAGUAAAAGGAGACAAUUAAAAUAUCCCAUCAUUUUAAGUAUUUCACAAUUUGAAAAUUUAUCUCAACCCAUGCAAACGGUUGUAUUUCAUUUAAUUUCUCAUUAAGGCUUAUGACUUUCAUAAAAAUUUGGCUCAUGCCAUCAAAUAGUACUUUACGACACCUUGAUCAGAGGUGUACACUCGAGCCAGCCAAGGCUAUUAAAAUUUCGUAUACGCGUAAAACAUAUUUUUUUUUAGUUUGAAAAACACAGCCAUUCCUUGGUGUUAGCUGAGUUUGUCAUCACGAGGUGGUUCAGCGUGACGUGAACUUUGUCCAUGCCUCAGGAGAUACCAUACACGCCUCUCCGAUCGAGGUACAUAUAUAUAUCCGGAUUUCAUGCCCCUCUAAUAGGUUGGUCCACAGAAUCCGCCUACUGUAGCAAGCUAAACCCACCAUACAAUAAAAUUUUGACAGCAUGACAGGGCUAAUAUUUUACUACUCAGCCUGCAAGGGUAAAAUAAAACAAUUCAUACAAUUCAUAGAACAUAGCCCAGCCAGUCAUGCCAACACAAUAACAAUAUAACAUAAGCCAUCAAUUUCUAAUCAUAAAUUUAUAACAUACGGAUGGUCUCCAAUUACUCUAUUUUCAAAAUCGUUAUUCAUUUUCAAUAUAAUUUAUAAAAUCUUUUCAUGUCAACACAUUCUGCUUGUAAAACACAAAAAUUUACCAUUUAAACUCAUUUUCAUAAAAUUUCAUCAAAACCGAUUAAAAACAUACUUUAGAUAAUUAAAAUGAUGGUAAGGUUACUCAUUGUACUAGGAGUUCGAUAUACUCCUAUUCCCAAUCUUCGGGCACAAUCUCUUUACCCUUGUUAGAGGGUUCACCACCUAUACAUCAUACGUGACACGAAUUUCAAUAAAUUGUGUCAAUUUAUCAUAAACUAUUUCAGGCUCUCUAAAUCUAAAUGAAUGCAUGUGAUGGGAUGCAAAAUGUUUGAUUAAUCACUUAAAUGUGAUAUUCGACCUAAGUCGCACUAUACUCGGCCUAAUCAGCUAAAAUCUCUGAUUUAACUUCAAAUCAAUUCUUCUCACUUUCUACACUCCAAUUGUACCUAAAUUACCUUAGUGACUAUGAAUGAGAUUCAAUAUAUCAGUCUCGGGUCAAUAAUCACACAUGUCUAUACAUUAGGUAAAAAUUCAGAUUUUCACACCAAAAUUUUCCAUUUAAUUUCUAGCCUCACCAAACAUCAAAUAUCACCCAAAUAUCAUGAAAUAUCAGCAAUUUCAGCCACAAUAUCCUCCCUAGAAAAUUUGGCCAAUGAUGGUGAUCGGGGAAAAGAGAUUCUUUUCUUAUUGUUUUGUUUCUAAAUAUGCUAAACUAACUAAAAACACUAACAUAACUCAAAAUCAAAUCAAUCCAACAUCUUUAUCUCUCCAUACCCAUUUUGACUAGCCAUGAAUUCAUCAUGAAAACAUGUAAUUUAACCAUGGAAAAUAAGGAGUAAUGCUUAAGGAAAAUAGAUUUCAAGUUUAAAUUGAAAAAGCCUACCUUUUUCACUUGUUUUCCUUGAUUUUUCACACUUUUUCUCUUGAAAUCCUCCACCUAGGUUUUGUUCUUGUUUUUCCUUUCUUUCCUUUUGUCUUGGCCAAAUAUGGAGAAGAAGGAUGGGAUAAAUAUGGGCUGAUUUUAAUGGAAAAUAAUAAAAUAUUCUUACUUGACACGUGGCAUGUUUCCAUUGGUCCAUUUUUAAAACUUUAAAAAUUUUAGACCUUUAAUCUCCACCACAUGAUUAGUCAAAGGUCAAAAUGAGGAUAAGGGAAGACCAUGUGCUGGAAAAAUGUCCUGGUGGUGGAAAAUUACUGUUUUGCCCCUAGGGUGGUAAAAUUACCAUUUUGCCCUUAUGCUCCAAAAAUACCGAAAUUAUAACUUUUUCACUUAUCAACCUCAAAUUAUACUCCAAUGAGUCAAAUGUGAUCAAUCUUGAUCAAAAACUUCUUCCAAUAUUCCAAUUUUAUCCUCAAGUGGCAAAAUUACCAUUUUGCCCCUAGAUAGUGAAAUUUUCGAUUUGACUCCAAAUUGAUCCUCGAACUCCAAAUAAUCAUAUUAAACUAUUCUGGGACUUUAAUAUUCUUAAUUUCAUCUGAAAUUCUCUAUUUGAUCUAGUUCGAGGCUUAAAUCAACUUUGUUGUACCUCUAGGUACAAUAUCGACUUUUGUAAAUUUUUCGGGACUCUCCUAGCAUGCAAACAUGUUAUCCAUCACAUGUAUGUCAUGACAAGUAUUUUAUAGAGUCAAGCUUGACAUCUUCUCCCCUACCUGGAUCAACCAUAUGAUCCUUUUUCAUGACUGAUUUCGACAUCCGGCUAAAUAUUAAUAUUUUAAUAUUAUUUCAUUAAUAAAAUAUUAUUUUAUUCUAAAAAUUUUAUCUUGUCUCUUUGGUUCCCAAAGUUCCUUAUUAUGCCUCAAUUCGCAUCCGACCAACUUUAUUUAUCACCAUAUCAGAGUAUAGGGCAUUUCAAUACAUAUGGAGCACGUAUCGAUACAUUCUAAACAAAUUCCAUAGGAGGCUUUCUGUGUGAAAUGUAUCGAUACAUUUUACCAAUGUAUUGAUAGAUGCUUGAAAGUAUCGAUACAUUCAAUAAUGCAUCAAUAGAUAUGGUACAGAAAAGGAUGUUUGAGUGAAUUUGAUCAAGAUUUUAAAGGUAAAGAUUUCUAAAGGUUUAUAUAAGUUGUUUUCAAACAAAAGGUAUUUAAAUGAGUUCAAAUGACAUGUAUAAUGCAUUUUAUGAUUCAGAAGUUAGGAAUGGUAUGAGUUAUAAAUGUAUGGUUACGAAAUACUCUUAUCCCCUAGCUUGUCCCCUUCCCGUAUCCACUCACAGAGUCUUUGUGACUCAUACAUUAUUUUUUCCAUUUAUUUUGUUGUAGAUUAGUGAUAGCAUCUAAUAGCAGCUAGUGUCGUGGAUACCAAUGUUUGGUCUUCAUUCCUUGGUAGGUGUCUAGCAGCCAUUUGUUGCCUAGAGGGUCGAUCACAUUCUGCUGACUAGUUGGUCUUUACUUUAUGUUAUGUUUAUAGACUAUGAACAUGUUUAUGUUGACAUCACCAAUGUUUGGGCACCUUAUAUGAAUAAUGUUAUGUAUAAGAUCAUGAUGAUUGCUCGAUAGCCUAUAUGGACACUUGAGGGUGAUGAUGAUGUUUAAUGUUUAUAUUAUUAUGCACUAUGAUAGUGGCACUUGUUAAUACACAUAUAGAUAUAUUAAGUUGAGCGUACACAAUUAAGUUGAAAAGUUUCUUUAUUGUGUAAUAAGUUUUAAGAAUGUUUGUAUUAUGAUUAUGUAUGUUAAUGGAUGUGAUAUGAUGCUUCCACAUGAGAUGAUGAAUGCUUGAUGAUGUUAUAUAGGAAGCUUGCUUGGGCCUAACAGGUUAUGCUCGUUUGGGUCCAUACGCUGGUCACAAUCCCUCUUGGAAAUGGGAUGUGACAGUGAGCCUUCAUUUUAAUUGAUGUAUGAAUUUGAAGAUUAUUUGUAUUUUACCUUAAGUUGAAAUUGUGGAAUAAUUUUUGUGGAAAGCUUGGAAAUCAUGACUUGGUGAAUUUUAUCUCAUGAAAAGUCUUUUCAUUAAUUUUCUUUGGUUUCUUUGUUUUCUUUUAUUUUGCUCAAGGACUAGCAAAAUCUUAAGUUUGGGAGUGUGAUAAUUCUAUAAAAUAUAAUUAUUUUUAUUUCAAAUUGUUCUUAAAAGUUAGCUAAGUUCUUGAGAUUAGGUUAAGAUUUAGUUAUUUUUAGUUUUUUCUAAUUAGUUUAUUUUUAUUAAGUUAUUUUGUUUUAUGUUAAUUUUAUGUUUAUUUGCCUUAGUUUAGUUUUUAUGUUUGUGUAGGACUUUAAAGGAAUAAGACUCAAUUUGGUGAAGAAAGGUGCUUAAAGAACCUAAGUCCUGUUCAUACAUAUUGCAAUAUUUUGAGUAUAACUUCCAAUCCAUAAGUCCAAAUGAGGUGAUUCUUAGACCAUUGGAAAACUAAGAGAUAGAGCUACAACUUUCAUGCAAAUCACUUUGCUCUAUUUGACUUUAAAGAUGGAGAAAAUCAUAUUGGAAUUUAAGGGAGGGUAGUAGUCAACAAGAGAAGGCCUAAAGCCAAGGGCCUGUCACAGCUUAGAUAAGGGGUGCCAUAGUGUCAAAGAGAAAAAUUUGAAUAAAUCACUAUGGGAAAGAAAUGGAUGUGAGCUAAUUUAAGUCCUAUGGGCUCUACACUUAUUUUAAGGUCAAAUUAAGAGUCCUUAGGCUAAAGUAGUUUAGUUUAGGAAAAUUUAGGUUAAGUUCCGAGUAUAACUAAAUAGCUUAAGGAGAACUUAGAGGCAUGAAGAAAAUCCUAAGAAGGAUUCAAGAGGUUAAAAGUUGAGGUUGAAGAUUGAAGAUCAAAGUGUUAAGAAUGUUUAGAAUAUGGUGCCUUGGAAAGCAAGUAUAUUCUCAUGCUUAAUUUCAUUAAAUUUGUAAUGAAAGUACUUUUGAAAAUAAGAUGAAGAGUUUGUUUUAAGUAAGCAUCCAUUAUCUAGUUAGUAAGGUACCAUGAUUCUAUUGAGAUAUUAAAAUAUAUUUUUAUGAAGAGUCAUACAUAGGAGACAUAUUGUAAUUGAAUCUAAAAAUUGUUCAUAGUCAUAUAAUAAAGUUAGUCACUUUAUUGGUUUAAGGUUGUAGUGUCAAAUUACUUCCAACGAAAUGAAUAUAAUUCAUCUCAAGGGAAAGAUGAGUCUUAAAUUAUCGAAAUGGUUAACUUCAACUAAUGACACUAUAACAUGCAUUGGAAUCAUGUGAGAAUCAAAUUUAAGUUUAAUCAUUAAUUAAAUCUUGAUCUCACACUUAUGCAUUUGCUUAUAAUAGAACCGAAAUCUUGAUGGAUAGUGGACUCGUGUUUAAUCUCCUUAUAAUCUUUGAUUUACCAUGAUCAUGAUCAUCAUAAAGUGUUGAUUUAGACUCCGUAUUUUGGGAUUAUAAUCGAGAUGAAUAUCUGGGAACAUAUAUCCAAAUAAUGGAGUUCAUAACAUUAACAUCACUUCUUGUGAUUUUAGGAAGACUGGUGAUUAAUUUGGGCCCAGAGGACUGAUGAAUUAACUACUCAUCACAUAUAGAUACUCAAAAGAUUAGAUCUAGUGUAUGGAAUCAGUAAUAGGAUGAAAUUUGAGAUUUGGGGACAAAAUUGGCAUAAAAGGUAAAACAAUAAUUUCAUCUGUUGUCAUUGGAUGGUUAUGAGGUUUACAAUAUAAGGUUUGCAAUUGGACAACUAAUAAUUAAUAUCAAGUAUUGAAUUGUUUCUUGUAAUUAUAGUUAAUCGAAGAGUGCAACCAUGAAUCUAUGAUGGAGUGAUUUCAUGAUUAAUAAGCUUGAAUUAUUUUUAAUGAGAUAAAGAAUAAUUCUAAGUUUAUUGAAGCUUGUAAUAUCUAUGUCCAAAUAGUUUUCCCACUUAGCUUUGUGAAAUUCAACUUGUUUAAGAUGGAAUGCAUGUUUUAAUUUGAUUAAUUAAAAUGUGUACAAAAAUGUCAACUUUAACAUGUUUGUCAUAACUUAGACAUGAAAACAUGUUUGGUCUUAAUUUAAAAAAUAUGUUUGUUUUAAUUUAAGAUAAGAAAAAUAUUUUUUGUCAUUAUGUAGACAAUAAAGCAUAUUUGUCUCAAUUUAGACAAGAUAAAAUAUUUUUGUCUUAAUUAAAGACAAGAGUUGUCUUAAAUUAAGAUAAUGCUAAGAGGAUUCUUGCAAAAUGAAUCUAGAUAUCCAUGUUGAUAUAAGAAGACUCCAUGUUUGACUAUCACUCUUUUAUUUAUUAUUAAUUCUUUUUAAAUAAAGAUGGAUAAUAAUAAAAUAAGAGUUAUUAUUCAAUAAGGAGUUUUAUUUUAUCAAGAACUCUAAAUGAUAAUUAAAGAAUUAAAUUAUUUAUUAUUUAAAUUUAAUUUUGAUAAUUAUGGAGCAUGUUUGAUGCUUCCAUAACUCUAAAUGGAUGGGCAAGAUUGAUUUAAAGGUGUUUGAUUUCGAUUAAACCUUUGAGGUAAGAGUUUUAAUAAAAAGAGAAGAGAUUGGAAAAACAAAAAUGUACGUGCUUUUUCUUGAAAAAGUUUUAGUCGUCACUUCUUUUCUCCUCCUCUAAAAAAACUUUGCCAUAUCUUUCUUCCUCUCUCCCAUUCUUGGUUGAAGUUUUUUGAAAGAAAAUAGCCACUAAGUUUUAGGAAGAAAAGAGAGACAAAAUCAGUUGCCAUUUUAUAGUCUUGCAUUCCACACCUUGUCCACUCAAAGUUCAAGUUGAAAGCAUUCUUGAAGAAUAAGUGGUAAACUUAUUCGGUCAAGAAAUCAUACAUUGGUGUGGUGGUGUCCAAAAAUAAGAAUCUCGAAAUAAAAGGUAUGUUUUUUUCUUACUUAAUAGCUUUUAUCUUCUUAGGAUGUGAUUAUGUUGCAAUAAGAAUGAUGUAUGCUUUCGUUCGUGUAAUUGGAUUGCUUUCUUCCUUUAUAAUAAAAUUUUUUUCAAAUCCAUGCUUUACACAAUCACAUCAUUCCACUAAGAUCCAAAUCCAACACAAGGUUGCAAAAUUAGUUUAUUUUCUUCUUCCUUAGCUUUUAUUAUUCUUGUUACUCUUGAUGGCUAAACUUGUUAUGUUUUUAUUUAUCAUUGCAAUUAUAGUAACUAAAUUCCUUUUUCUAGGAUUGCAACUAAACUCAUAUGUAGUCUAAAUUUUUAAUCUCUUUAUAGAUUAUUUUCAAUUGAAUUUAAUUGUUUUAUUCCAAUUUGUUCUUAAUGCUUUUAAUUGCUUGAUCACCAAUUAAAUUGAUCCAGAAAUCUAAACAUAACUUGGGAAAGGGAGUUUAGUGUAAACUAAAAUUGGAAUAGCAUAUAAUUAAAUUUAUUUGCUUGGUUGAAUAAAUUGGUUUCUGCAUAGGAUAAGAAUAUACCUAUAUGCCAUAUGUAACUAGUACUAGAGCUUGAACUUAAUGAAUUGGUUUUAAUUUCAAUUUAAAUAGGAAUACCAUUUUUUUGAUUAAAGUAUAUAUUUUUAUAGGACUUUUAGGAGAGCCUUAUAAAUAAUUAAGGACUCAAGGCUAGCUAUUUAAUCCAUUGAAAAAAGUUAAGGGAGAAAGGUAAUAUUUAGAUUAAGUGUGGGGGAUAUUGUAAUCGUAGGCUUGUUUAAUUUAAUUUUUAUUCAAUUAAAUUCAUGCUUUGAUUCUUAAUUAUUGUUCAUUAGCUUCUUUCUUUUGUUAAUUAAUUUUUAGUUUAAUUAGUAAUCAACUUUUAAGUGUUUCAAUAAGAUUAAAUUCUAUUAAUUUUAGUAAUUAGUGAAAUUGUAGAUCAAUUCCCUAUGGGAUUGAUACUUUGUUUACGAUUAUAUUAUCUUUUCGAUAUGUAUACUUGCAUUGGUAGAGAAUUUUAACAACAAAACGCUUCAUAUCAAUCAAGCACUUUAAAGAAAUUCUCUAAAUUAUAAAAAGAAUGACAAUUUAUGAGAGAAUUUCCUCAACAAUGGCAUAUCAUCAUGAAAUAUCAUCAUUAAACCCUUUUCGGUAAUCUCUUUUUAACAAUAUUUUCACACAAGCGUUUCAAUAAGUGUUCUCCAAAUAUGUAUAAGACUAUUAUUUCAAGGAGAAAUUUUCUCACCAAGACAGUUUAUCAAUAUCAACGAAGCAUUGCCAAGAUAUUUAGCACUUACUGCAAUGAUGUAAGAGAAUAUUAUUAUCAAGCAAGCACAAGUAUGAUUACAAAAAGAAUUUUGGUUAUCUUCACCAAUCGUGAUUUCAAUUUGUUCCAUGAAAUGCAUGCACUAAGUAUAUUAAGCUUGGUUUAUUGCUAGGAAGUGUGCAAGUGGAAAAGAAUACCGUGGAAACAUAAUCAGAUGAGUGGUGAAGUGAUAUCCUGCCAUUGUAAGGUGAGUAAGGGGUGUCUAUUUCAAAAUCUCUGCACUAUAGAUAUAGAUUUACAUUAAUAAACGUUGUUGGUUUCUUAAUUACAAUUGUGGAUAGCAUGAGUUGUUAGCCUUGAUAGGCAAUUUUAAAAUGGCUUUACAAUGAUUUAUAUAUUGCUAUUGUGGAAAACAUGGGUUGGUAGAAAUGUUAGGCAAAUUUGUGGAUGCCAUGAUAUUUUAAAUUGUUUUGGAUAUAUAUAUAUAGGUAAGCUAUAUAUGUAAAGUAUUUUAGAAACAGAGAAACAAGCCUUUUGUACUGUUUGCAUAAAAAAUCUAUGCCUUGUAUUUUUAUGUAAUAUGUUUAGUUAAAUGCAUUUGCUAAAUGAUUUAUUUGUACGUUUUUGAGAGCCAAUUUUAGUCUAUUUUUUAUUCAAGUAUUUACACCAUUCCUUUUUAAUGCGAAAAUCAAUUUGAAUAGUUAUCGAACCUUAUUUUCAAGUGAUUUAAACAAAAGUCUCAAAAAACAUGGAUUUGGUUUGGAAAACAGUUUUGACAAACCGAGAGCGUCGAGAGUAGGUUGAAUGUCAUAUCGGGAUAGUGUGACCCUUGUGCACAAGUGAGCUCUAGCUAGAGAACCUUUAGGUCACCAACGAGCUGUUAGACAUGGUUGGGACCAUGGCUUGUCAUUAUACGUGGCAAGGCCACAGGUUGUUAUAUACGGCUAGGCCACAAGUUGAUAUAUGCGGUUGUGAUCGCCUGAUUUCUCUAACAUCGACCAACAUUGUCGAGAUUACCAUGGUUGUGGGAACCCGGUGGAGUGGAGCUCUUGGAUUAUUAUUAUGUGGAAGAAGGUCCACAGAUUGAUUAUGUAUGAUUACCUACUCGAGAGGCUUGUGAGUUUUUCGAUAUGUACUCUUUUGCAUGGUGGAGAGUUAAGGUUUCUUUACAACUCCCCUUGUUUGAAUAAAAGCUUUCAGUGCUUCCUUGAUGAUCAUGAGUUAGUUUAUGUGGCUGUACACAUUAAUUUCUUUACAUGCAACACAUUUUGGGAGCGUGCAUACUUUUAUACUGUUAUUUGUAUUUUGAUGGAAAGUGAUGCUUUCGAUGUUUGAAAUCUAAUUUUGAUACAUAUGUUUUCAACAUCUUUUGCCAAGUGAAAUAUUGCAUUAUGAUUUUAUGGCAUGUUUUUACGAGGCGCAAACACCCUGCUUGCGAUUUGAUUUUUCUAAGAUUAUCACUUUUUAUUCUAGUUUUACUAUUCAAAAGAUGUACUUAAGCUAGUUUCCCAUCUCUGCCCUGCUCACGGAGCCAAUGUGAGACGUUGAUCUUUAUAGACUCAUAGCUAAAAGUAGACGCAAUAUCACUAACUGGGAGUAAUUCCGUCAUUUCCUUAACGAGGCCCUAGAAGAAUGCUUUCAAACAUUAUUAAGGCCUAAGUAGGCCUAAGGCAUAAAUGAAUGAUGAAAAUAAGGAUAAAAUGAUGAAAGAAAUAGAAAUAAUAAUGAUUUCCAAGGUAGAGGCAAACUGGUCAUUUGUCAUCUCAAGUCAAAAUUUUUAAGUUUUCGUGAACCUAAGUAUUUCUAGACUAUUGUGGACUUUGUCUUAGUGUCAAAAGAGUAGAAAGAUUGCACAAAGGAUUGGAGGAAGACAAAGCCAACUUGUUAAGGGCAUUUUCAUAAUUUAAGUAGAGUUUGGAUAAGCUUUAGCUAUAAAUAUCAUUUUUCCAACUGCUUCUUCUUCUUCCUCUCAUCUCACAUUUCUUUCAUCCUCCAUGGAAGCUUGUUUUGAAACCCGCAUAACUUAUCUCAAGCUAGCUCCAAUUUUCAUGCUUUUGUGCACCUUUUCAUAGAACCUUUUGUGCUCUUUCACUCUCUCACUUUAAAACGUUUGAAAAGUCUUACUUCCAUACUUCCUCUCACUAGCUAGGUGUUUUAGAGAGAGAAAGAGGGAGCUUUUAUAUUAGCUUGAAAAUUUUUGGAAAGAAAUUCAAUUACAAAGCUACCAAGGUGAGUAGUGAAUUAGAGUUGAUUUUUAAAUGUUGAGAAUGGCUAGUGAUUAGACUUGUGAGUGUUUUGUAGUUGAGGCUGUUUAUUCAUUUUAGAGUGAUUAGGAUAGUGAAAAUAAAUAGCCACUUAAUGGCAAUUGGAAGCUAGUUAGGAGAUAGCUUUUAAAAUUUAUAGUUAUGUGAAUUGUGAUGCUAAUGUGAUGAUAAGUUCCAAUGAAGCCCCACCACCCCAUUUGGACCUUUAGAGGAAGUUGGAGUUAGGUAAAGAUUUAACAAAUACCGGUGAAUGAACUUGCAUUAAAAUGUUUUGGGAUUAGGGCAUAUGUGUUUGAUUAAAUCCAUUGAAAUAGUUUAUCUAUUUUUCUCUAAAAAUAUGCAUGGGAACAAGCUUUGAAUGAAACGUUUUGCAUUAUGGAAUGCGACUGUGAUGAAUCCAUGUGUGUUUUUCUCUAAAUCUCGCACCCUCGUUGGACACAAAUUAGACCUUAUUGAUAAAACGAAUUAUCGUUUGAUGCGAACUGGCGUACUAAAGAGUGACAAAGGAUGAAAGGAACGUUCAAGAAUAAAAUGCUUUGCGCGUGCAGAAACAAUAAUUAAAUAAUAAUAUUUUUGUUGGAGAGGAAUUAGUAAGCUAAAGGAUGAUUCAGAAGUAAAUCAAGAUGUAAUGAUGUGUUUCAAGACCAAAUAAGGCAAGUGAAAUUUUUUGAAAUAAAAUAUUAUUUUAUUCAAUAAAAUAAUAUUAAAAUAUUAAUAUUUUAUAUGUUGUUGGAAUUAGUCAUGAAAAAUGAAAUAUGACUAAUUUAAGUGGGGGAGAAGAAGUAAAGAAGAAUUUUGAAGGAAAACGAUGAUAAUUGUGUCAGUGUGAUUUUAUUAAAUCGAGCCAACGCGGGUAAGUAAAUAUUUAAAUAUUAUGGUGACACUGCGUUGAAAUGCGAUUUCGAUAUUUUGAUUAUACACGUGUAAGAAAAGGAAGAUAGAAGGAAAUUAGAAUUUUUACACGUGUCGGAAGAAUUAAUUUUAAAAUAUGAAAAAUUAAGGGAGGUGUAUUAAAUAAAAUGAAGUUAAGGCAUAAUAUGUGAAUUUUAUUAUUUUGAAGAAAUAAAAAUAAAAUGAAAAUAAAAUGGAUGAUAAAAUAAUGAAGAAAAGGUGUUGAAAAGUCAAACAGUAUUAUUAUAUGUACAUGAGUGGCUACAUGAGUCAAGAAUGGAAUGAGGACAAAAACAAAAGAAAGAAAAGUGUGUGGCGGAUGGAAAAGGUGCACAAGUUUUUUUUGACUUUCAAUUUCAAUCCCAUGUGAGUAAAAAUAAGCAAGAUAAAAAUAAAAGCAAAAGAAAAGAAGAAAGACACGAAAUAAAUAAAGAAAACAAAAGAGAAAAAUGUAGAAAUGAUGGUGGGGCCAGCCAUGUGAGAUGAAAGAAAUGAAAAGAGAUAAAAGAGAAAAAAGAGAGGAAAUCGGUUGAGAGUGGGAGAAAAGAAAUAAAGGAAAGAAAGAACGGUGGGAGAGGAAGAGAAAAGAGAACAAUUUUGCUGCACUUUGAGAAAGGAAAAAGAGAGCUUUUGCUGCAAUUUUUGGAGGAAGAAGAAAGCUAAAAAUUUAUGAGGUAAGAAGCUGAUUUUUGCUGCACUUUGAGAGAGAAAAUUCGAUGCUUUUUAGAGGGAUUUUGGUGCUGAAAAUUCAAGGUUUUUGCUGCUAAAUUUUGAGGUUAUGUUGCUAGAAAUUUUUGGAGGUUUUUGCUGCCAUUGAAGGACAACUUUGGCUGCUAAAAAUUUGAGUUGUUUGCUGUCAAUUUGUGCAAAAAAAUUAGAGCUGGUUGCUGGUAGUUUGUGCAGGAAAAUUGGACAGCUUUGUGCUACCAAAAUUGAGAAGUUUUGUUGCUGGAAAUUUGAGCUGAAAAUCUACUGAUUUUAUAGCAAAAAAUGGCAGCAAAAAAAGGUGAGAAAAUGAGGCUUUUGGUGAUCAAUUUUGAGAGGCAAGGAAGAGAGGAAGCCACGGUGGUGAAGGGAGUGAUGGGUUGGAAAAAAAGAAGAAGAAGAAACGUGGAAAAGAGAAAAAGAAAGAAAAAGAAAAUAAAAAUAGGGAUGGCCCAAUAGGAGAUAUAUGGGCUUAGCCCAAAUAGGAAAAAUUGGAAAAGCCCAUGAAAGGGGGGGCCCCAAAGGUCAUAAAGAAAUGAAAAAGGCCCAAUGGUAAGUUAAUGUUAUAUUUUAAGGUUUAUUGGUAGUUUAAUAUUGUGCAUAUUUUGGAUGAAAAAUAUGCAAGUUGCUUAAGGAAUUUUUAAUUAAGUUGCUACUCAUACAAAUGUGUGAUUAAGUAUACUGAGUUUAAAUUGUUGCUAAAAAAGUUUGUCAUGGAGGAGUGCCGAACGAAGUAUGUGAUCGACAAAUAGGAAUAAUUAUAUACGCGUACGAAUCAAUAGUGAAGUAAUAUCCCAUUAUUAUGAGGUGAGUAAGGGGUGUCAAUUUUAAAAAUUUCAUAUAUAUACAUGUACGUAUAUUUUAUGUGAAGUGCAAAAUUUAUGGAAAGCAUGCGUUGAUAGAAUUUUAAGGAAUUGUGGGUGUAAGUUAUUUUUAGAAAUCAUUUGAAAUAUAUAUAUAUGUAUUAGACGUAAAGUGUUUUAAACAGGGAAACAAGCUUUUCGAAAAGAUUUACAUCAAAGGAAAUUGUGCCUUAUUGUUUGUGUGGUGUGCAUUCAUGAAAUUUAUUACAUAUUCACCAUGCCAUUUUGAUACAAAAUAUCAUGAAAAUAUUUACAAUGAACAUUUUACGAAAAGAGAGUUUUAACGUGAUCUGGGGAUCGAUAUUUUGAGAAAGAUUUAAAAUAUCCCCUUGAAGAUCAAAUUUGAAUUCUUUUAAAAAGUAAUUUCAUUUUAACCAAGAAAUUCAAGAGUAAUUGGAGACUACUACUUGUUGUGUUAUAAAUUGUAUUUUGAAUUGAAUGGCUUAUGAUAAUGUGGGAAUGAAUGGCUGGAUUGGUAUUUGUAUUGAAAAUGUAUAAACUGUUGUUUGCCUUGAUAGGCUGGAUAAUGAUAAAAUUGCCAUGUCAUGCUGUUGAAUUUUUAUUGAAUUUGUGGGUUUAGCUUGCUGCAGUGGGCGGGUUCUG